rnacentral:rRNA from 1 species
GUCCUACGGGGGGCUGCAGUGGGGAAUAUUGCACAAUGGGGGAAACCCUGAUGCAGCCAUGCCGCGUGUGUGAAGAAGGCCUUCGGGUUGUAAAGCACUUUCAGCGAGGAGGAAAGGUUGAUGCCUAAUACGCAUCAGCUGUGACGUUACUCGCAGAAGAAGCACCGGCUAACUCCGUGCCAGCAGCCGCGGUAAUACGGAGGGUGCAAGCGUUAAUCGGAAUUACUGGGCGUAAAGCGCACGCAGGCGGUUGGAUAAGUUAGAUGUGAAAGCCCCGGGCGCAACCUGGGAAUUGCAUUUAAAACUGUCCAGCUAGAGUCUUGUAGAGGGGGGUAGAAUUCCAGGUGUAGCGGUGAAAUGCGUAGAGAUCUGGAGGAAUACCGGUGGCGAAGGCGGCCCCCUGGACAAAGACUGACGCUCAGGUGCGAAAGCGUGGGGAGCAAACAGGAUUAGAUACCCGUGUAGUCC